CCUGAGGAACGAGACUCGCUGAGAGCUCGACUCGGCGAGCGCUUCGCUUGGCCGCCGGGGUGCCCACCUACGUUGAUGUUCCUCAGGAAGUCGGCGGAUGCCAUGGACAGGCUGAUGUUCUCCGGCAGGGAGAACUGCUGGCGGAUGCCCCCGGCUGACAACACCGACGACGCCUGCUCACCGUCGUGUCUUUCUCCACCACGAUGACAUUGAGCCCCCCGCGGAGCCCCUCCUUCUUCUUGAGCCAAUAGGCCACGGACCAGCCCAUCACGCCGCCUCCCACGAUCACGAUGUCGGUCCUCUCUGGUGGAAGGUUGGGGUUGAUCUCCAGCGGGCUCCAGGAGCUCCCCGGCAGAGCGUCAGCCACCUUCUUCCUCGUGGCGGCCAACUGGGCCUCCAGAUCUAGAAUGAACACAUUCUAGUAAUACUUCAUUGGAAGGGCAAAUGACAAGGACCAUUUAUCUUGACUGAGUUCCUGAAUGUUUCGAAGGAGCGCUUUUAUUCGGCAAAAGUUUAAACGCACUCACAUUCAUCUUUUGCCUGUUUAUCAAUAUUAUGAUGGUUAUUAUGACUUUGCUUUAGUUUGUGGCACCUAACGACCGUAGCCCACCUUUAAAGAAGUCAUUCCGCAGCGGCGUCCCGGUGCCCAGGUUUCGGCGUGACACUGCGAGUCCGCACAGCAGCCGGUGGUCCGGUGGGACCCCUGCGAAGGUGAGCGCAGCCCGAAGCGUCCGCACAUUUGCACGCACGCUACGCCACGUUGACAUCGCGUUGCCUCAGUUAGCUCACACACUCAAGGGAAGCCACAAACAUAUUUCAGGUAUGCAGAAAUAGGCAGUUAAGCCACAGGGAUGUCAAUGUUUAGAACAUUCCGUAGAACUCCACCACUCGUUCCAUGCGUGGUGACUUUCUUCAAAAUAAAAGCAUCAUUUAGCUGUCGCCACUUUCUGGAUCAAUAUUUUGCUUACAUAUUCACACUUUCAAAAUGAAAAUAAUUAAACACAUCUGAAUAAAGCACCCAAUUUACGAAA